GGGGCCCUACGGGAGGCAGCAGUGAGGAAUAUUGGUCAAUGGGCGGGAGCCUGAACCAGCCAAGUCGCGUGAGGGAUGACGGCCCUGUGGGUUGUAAACCUCUUUUGCCGGGGAGCAAAGUGCCGCACGUGUGCGGUUUGGAGAGUACCCGGAGAAAAAGCAUCGGCUAACUCCGUGCCAGCAGCCGCGGUAAUACGGAGGAUGCGAGCGUUAUCCGGAUUUAUUGGGUUUAAAGGGUGCGUAGGCGGACUGUCAAGUCAGCGGUAACAUACGGGGGCUCAACCUCCGCCCGCCGUUGAACCUGA
rnacentral:rRNA from 1 species